rnacentral:rRNA from 1 species
GAAUUUUAUAUAAUUAUUAAAAUUAAAUUUAUUUUUAAAUUGAUAAAAUUUUAGUAUAUAUUUAGUUGGGAGGAUUAUUAAAUUUAAUAAACUUUAGUUUAAAAUUUACAUGAAUUAAUGAAAUAUAAAAAAAUUAAGUUGAAUUUAAAUGAAAAAAUUAAUUACCUUAGGGAUAACAGCGUAAAAUUUUUAGAGAGAUCAUAUUGAUAAAAAUGUUUGC